UUCUCUCCAUUUUCCUCUCCUCUCUCUCUGCGUGUCCAGUGACUGACUGCACAAUACACAUCAAUUAUUCAUGGCUGCUCUCUCUCCGUUUCGCAGGCAAAACCAAUCACAGAUGGAGUCAUUGCUAAUGGGCUCCUGCUGUACUUGCCACCGGCUUCUUUGCACUCAAGCAACAAAUACCCCAGAGACAAUGAGAGGGAAAACAGGGAUAAGCUGUUAAAAAAAAAAAAAAAAAAAGAGGGAGAAAGAGAAAGAAACUUCACACAGCACCAACAGCCAUGAGGAGGAGGACACACAUUUGUGGUAGAAGAAGAAGAAAGGCUUUCAACAGUCUCCUAAGCGAGCGGCAGACACUGACUCGUCUGUCUCUGCAUUGGGAUGGCCGACCUGCUGCCGCCAUGCCGGCCCCACCAUGUGAUCCGCUCCCUAUUCCUGUCGCUCGGCAACAGGCCCCGCUGGACGUCAGGGAGCGGGUCCUGCCCCUGGGGCCCUGUGGGAGUGUCAUUUAAGAGCCAUCUCCCGCGGAUGCCAGAGAGGGCUUUCUCUCCGCCUUAACCACCUCCUCGACCAGGGCCUCAACUCAAAAGAGCCACUAAGAGCUUUGCAGGGAGAAUGCCUCCGCGUUGACUCUUUACAGGCCUCAAAAUAUUCAUGCAUAUACAGGUACAUAAUUGUCCAUGAAAUGCACUUUGGGAUGCUGCCUAGGCUCAAGUACAUGCUGCUUUCCAGAUGACUACUGUUGCAGGAAAUUAUUCAGACGGAGAAUCAAUUGGCAAUCUUAUCUAAGCCCGUAAAGUAGGGCCUGAGAUUUGAUUUAGCAUUAAGUAGAAUUAGAACAUUUGGCGGUGUAAGUUAAUUGCAGGCAGAGAAUGAUUCCCCUCCCCUGUGGCUGACACAAGAGUGACAUCGCAUGAUUUGAAGCCUCAUAUAACCGCAUAUAAAACAGUCAACUCCAUAAAUCAGAAAAGUCAGACACAAGCAAAAAUUCAAACAAUAUGUGGCUCUGACUUUCACGUCCUAGCCGAUUUAGGACGGCUCAGUGGAGAGGCCGUGCGCACAGAAGCAAUUGCACAACCCUCGUUUUCCCUCUAACCCAAGACAGGUGGAAGCCACAAAUCAAAAACUGUAAAGGAGCACAAAAUAUUCCUGUUAUCUUUUGAGCCGCUGACAGCCUAUACGUCUUCAUUCCCGUCGUGCUUCAGCAUGCUUUUUCACCAGCUUGAUAACAACAUUUAGCAGUCUACAUCUGUCCCAAUAAUCUGUCACUGCACCAAGAUGACGGAGAUGUAUGAAAACAGGAACUCAUCAUCACUGAUACAGUAGUUGUUUUUUUUUUUUUUUUGGCAUGUGUGAUAAAUGGAAUAUUAUGCUGCGUAUGCUUUGUCUAAAACGCUGGAGAAGAAAACAAACACAGACAAACACAUUCUCCAUUUUGUGAACAAAUUUGGAGGUGAGAUGUGACAUGAAGAAGUGAGGGUUUAUGCAGACAUUAGAGGGUAAUGCUUAAUGUUCAAUGAGGUUGAAAAGGGAAAAGGUAUUUUGCAUUACUAUGUUUGUUGAAAGCCAAGAUAAAAUAGAAAUGGUUGGACUGUUUAUCAUUCUGAGAGCAAUAAAAUAAUUGAAAAGCA